GUAGUGAGGUCCUCAGCCCAAGACGCUGUUCUUUGCCUCCAGACGUGAAAGCAAUGGGUCUUUAACCUGGAAAGCAAUCUUAUUGUCCAAGAUGGUCUCUUGGGAACUGUUGAAGUUGUAUGGUAUAUAUAUCAGCUGCUAUAUUUUGUUCUCGUCCCUAAAUUCCUAUGCUUCAACCUGAAUCAGCUAAAGAUAGAGCUUGUGACACCUAUGUGGAAAACAUGGGAAGAAUUUCCAUUUUGCAGUGCAAAUGGACCUGCCACAACAAUCCAGUGAGGCUGGUAACUCAAGUAGCACUAAAGGAAAGCACAAGUCCUCAUCUGG